rnacentral:rRNA from 1 species
GGGUAAAAGCUCACCAAGGCGACGAUCAGUAGCUGGUCUGAGAGGACGAUCAGCCACACUGGGACUGAGACACGGCCCAGACUCUACGGGAGGCAGCAGUGGGGAAUUUUGGACAAUGGGGCAACCCUGAUCCAGCAAUGCCGCGUGUGUGAAGAAGGCUUCGGUUGUAAAGCACUUUUGUCCGGAAAGAAAUGGCCCUGGCUAAUACCCGGGGUCGAUGACGGUACCGGAAGAAUAAGCACCGGCUAACUACGUGCCAGCAGCCGCGGUAAUACGUAGGGUGCGAGCGUUAAUCGGAAUUACUGGGCGUAAAGCGUGCGCAGGCGGUUUUGUAAGACAGGCGUGAAAUCCCCGGGCUCAACCUGGGAAUUGCGCUUGUGACUGCAAGGCUAGAGURCGUCAGAGGGGGGUAGAAUUCCACGUGUAGCAGUGAAAUGCGUAGAGAUGUGGAGGAAUACCGAUGGCGAAGGCAGCCCCCUGGGACGUGACUGACGCUCAUGCACGAAAGCGUGGGGAGCAAACAGGAUUAGAUACCCUGGUAGUCCACGCCCUAAACGAUGUCAACUAGUUGUUGGGGAUUCAUUUCCUCAGUAACGUASUAACGCGUGAAGUUGACCGCCUGGGGAGUACGGUCGCAAGAUUAAAACUCAAAGGAAUUGACGGGGACCCGCACAAGCGGUGGAUGAUGUGGAUUAAUUCGAUGCAACGCGAAAAACCUUACCUACCCUUGACAUGCCACUAACGAAGCAGAGAUGCAUUAGGUGCUCGAAAGAGAAAGUGGACACAGGUGCUGCAUGGCUGUC